AAGCGAGGUAAUUAGUGUGCAGAGUAGACCGCAAACGGCUAAUUGCGCUGCUCGUGCUCGCCUCCACCUAUCGCAACCUCCAGCUCCAGCUUGCUCCUAAUAACACCCACCUCCACACGCGGCGUGGGGCUCGUGUCCGAACACGGAGCUCCAAAACAGUAAUUGUCAGCUGGGAAGAGGGGGGGGGAAGAGACACAAAAACAAGUCUGGUAGCUAGCAUAGGAGCCCAAACGGUUCGGACUGCUCACGAGGCGCUGCGCCACAGCCGAAGCACAUUUACAUACGCACUGAUUCACUGCAGGGCAGCCAUGUCCAGGCCUGAUUAGGACGUGCCGGAUCCCGUGCGUUAGGAAUGGAGGCUCGGUUACGGGAUCACGCAAAGGCUCCCUGAGGCUUAGCAGGAGUUGCCGACGCAGACAAAGUCAGAGAAUCUGCGGUCUCUGAGGUCGACAGUAAAAGCUGCAUGUGAGAGUUUGUCCCCAGAAACUGCUGGUGCUGCAGCUUUUCUCUGAACCGUCACCCAUCUACAAUGGAGGGACACCAGGAAGCGGAGCAGACACCCAGGAUGAGACUCAACACAGACUAGAAACAAACGCUGACAGGCGAAUGUGGAAAGCAAACAUAAUUAUUCCCACACAGACUUUUUUUUAUGAUAAAAAUGACAGCAGCUGUUUUCCAGUAUGCUGGCACUUAAAUAAAACUUAAGUAAAAGAGGA